UGGCGGCGUGCCUAUUACAUGCAAGUCGAGCGAACGGACGAGAAGCUUGCUUCUCUGAUGUUAGCUGCGGACGGGUGAGUAACACGUGGAUAACCUACCUAUAAGACUGGGAUAACUUCGGGAUACCGGAGCUAAUACCGGAUAAUAUGUUGAACCGCAUGGUUCAUAAGUGAAAGACGGUCUUGCUGUCACUUAUAGAUGGAUCCGCGCUGCAUUAGCUAGUUGGUAAGGUAACGGCUUACCAAGGCAACGAUACGUAGCCGACCUGAGAGGGUGAUCGGCCACACUGGAACUGAGACACGGUCCAGACUCCUACGGGAGGCAGCAGUAGUGAAUCUUCCGCAAUGUGCGACAGCCUGACGGAGCAACGCCGCGUGAGUGAUGAAGGUCUUCGGAUCGUAUAACUCUGUUAUUAGGGAAGAACAUAUGUGUAAGUAACUGUGCACAUCUUGACGGUACCUAAUCAGAAAGCCACGGCUAACUACGUGCCAGCAGCCGCGGUAAUACGUAGGUGGCAAGCGUUAUCCGGAAUUAUUGGGCGUAAAGCGCGCGUAGGCGGUUCUUUAAGUCUGAUGUGAUAGCCCACGGCUCAACCGUGGAGGGUCAUUGGAAACUGGAAAACUUGAGUGCAGAAGAGGAAAGUGGAAUUCCAUGUGUAGCGGUGAAAUGCGCAGAGAUAUGGAGGAACACCAGUGGCGAAGGCGACUUUCUGGUCUGUAACUGACGCUGAUGUGCGAAAGCGUGGGGAUCAAACAGGAUUAGAUACCCUGGUAGUCCACGCCGUAAACGAUGAGUGCUAAGUGUUAGGGGGUUUCCGCCCCUUAGUGCUGCAGCUAACGCAUUAAGCACUCCGCCUGCGGAGUACGACCGCAAGGUUGAAACUCAAAGGAAUUGACGGGGACCCGCACAAGCGGUGGAGCAUGUGGUUUAAUUCGUAGCAACGCGAAGAACCUUACCAUAUCUUGACAUUCUCUGACAACUCUAGAGAUAGAGCCUUCCUCUUCGUGUGACAAAGUGACA
rnacentral:rRNA from 1 species